rnacentral:rRNA from 1 species
CCUACGGGUGGCAGCAGUGAGGAAUAUUGGUCAAUGGGCGCGAGCCUGAACCAGCCAAGUAGCGUGAAGGAUGACUGCCCUACGGGUUGUAAACUUCUUUUAUAAAGGAAUAAAGUGCGGCACGUGUGCCUUUUUGUAUGUACUUUAUGAAUAAGGAUCGGCUAACUCCGUGCCAGCAGCCGCGGUAAUACGGAGGAUCCGAGCGUUAUCCGGAUUUAUUGGGUUUAAAGGGAGCGUAGGUGGGUUGUUAAGUCAGUGGUGAAAGGUUGCGGCUCAACCGUAAAAUUGCCAUUGAUACUGGCAGUCUUGAGUACAGUUGAGGUAGGCGGAAUGCGUGGUGUAGCGGUGAAAUGCUUAGAGAUCACGAAGAACUCCGAUUGCGAAGGCAGCUUACUAAACUGCCACUGACAUUGAGGCACGAAAGUGUGGGUAUCAAACAGGAUUAGAGACCCGGGUAGUC